UACGGGGGGGGCAAGCGUUGUUCGGAAUUACUGGGCGUAAAGGGCUCGUAGGCGGCCAACUAAGUCGGAUGUGAAAUCCCCAGGCUUAACCUGGGAACUGCAUCCGAUACUGGAUGGCUUGAAUUCGGGAGAGGGAUGCAGAAUUCCAGGUGUAGCGGUGAAAUGCGUAGAUAUCAGGAGGAACACCGGUGGCGAAGGCGGCUAUCUGGACAGAGUCUGACGCUGAGGCGCGAAAGCUAGGGGAGCAAACAGG
rnacentral:rRNA from 1 species